GCUUCUCUUACGGCCUGUAACCUGACGUGUUUAACUAAAAAAGCUUCUAAGAAAGCCUUAGACUUCUAUAAUUAAAGAAAUCCUGGCCUAAGCAUGAUGUAGCCUAGGUCUUAGGCUCAUGUCUUUCUGACCUAUUCCUUCCCUAUUUUCCAUAUCUCACAAAAAUUAUCAAUACAUUUCAUAAAUAGAGGAUAAGGCCUCUUUGGGCAAUCAUUGCGAGAAACACACGGAAUGCGAGCUGCAUUGUUGAAUAAGAAAAAAAAAUGUUACUAAAAGAAGAUAUAAUAUUAAGUAUAAGAUAAAUUAGAAAAAUUGAAAAUGGUGUUAAAAUGAUAUACUUUCACAAGUUACAACAAGAAAUAGAGAAACAACGAUGAAUAAAGCAUAAAUAAA
rnacentral:lncRNA from 1 species